rnacentral:tRNA from 1 species
GCAGUGGCGCAAUUGGUAGCGCAACGGUCUCCAAAACCGUAGGUUGCAGGUUCGAGUCCCUGUCUGC